UCGGACCGGCAAAACUAAAAACCCUAAACCAUCCUAAAUUUCUAAUUCUACAACUUCAUUCAUCUUCAUUCCUCUUCGUUCAUCUUCAGUCUUCAUUCUGCUCCCCGUCAUGCCAGAUUAUCGAUCGACUAGCUUAGGGUGCUACACGUCGUCUGCCGUCCGCCAUCGGCCAUAUAAGAACAAAUCGGCGAAGAAGUUAGACGACUUGGCUGCCAAGUGAAGAUAUUCAAUAUAGAACCUUCAAAUGGUCUUUUGGUAUUCUUUUCUCACGCUUGGUUCGAUUUCCCUCAAUGGAUGGAAGGUUUGCCUUGGUUCCCUGGGCAAAUAUGCUCAAUCAUAGUUGUGAGGUGGAGACAUUUUUGGAUUAUGAUAAUUCAUCUCAAGGAGUUGUGCUUACUACUGAUCGGCCCUAUCAGCCAGGUGAGCAGAUAUGAUGAUUUGUUUAUGGGAGCGCGGAAGGACUUAGAAAGAAUCAAGGAGGAAACUAUGCAUGAUCUUGAAGCAUUUGAUGACGGGGAAAUCGACUGAUUAAAUAUCUUAGCAUCAGUUCAGCUCACUAUUAAUUGAUCACACCACUUAUGUGGAGGAGGUAUGUAUUGGCAAGGCCAGCUGGAAAAAGAUGCAUGGAACAACAGUUAGUAGGCUGCGGAAUGGCUCUUUUCUGCAUCAUUUCCCAUCUGCUUUGCCUUGUGGGGCGAGAACUCGAGACCAGUCGGGCUCUUCUCAAUCCUAUUGUAUACUUGACUGCAUAUUUCAGGAGAUGGGAUUUUGUGCUGCUCAUGAGUGGAAGGCAAGGAAACCUCAUAUUUGACUCUGUAGAAGAAGAAGGUCAAGCCAAGAUUUUCACCUACUGUUUAUAGCUUAAAGCGUUUAAAUAACAAAGUUAUUUGUAUAGCA